rnacentral:sRNA from 1 species
AACAAGGGUGAAACCAUCUUCCUCCUUCACACCAUUCCCUGUGUUGGCCCAAUUGCAUCUGAACAGCGGCACUUUGAACAUGUGAUAGUCCAUAAGUAAAAUCUCCUUUAUCACUCCAUAAUAU